AUUUGGGUCAUUACAGCUGCACCUCCCUCCCUCCUGACUGGUGGCUGUUGCUGUCACAGGAGCAAUAUGAACAUCAGUAUUAAAUGGAAGUCUUUCUGAACCAUGGAGUGUGACUCUACAUUGUUCUGAAGUAUCUUGAGCUAUUUGCUGGAGUUCAAGGAGCAAGGAAACCCCACAACAGUCUGAAAAUGACAAAUACUGAAAUGUUCAACACUCACAUCAUGAACUUCUUCAACUGAAAUAUAGGCUUCUGUUGGCAGCCCCAGGUCCUUUGGCUUUACAUCAAUAAUUACCAAUACCUGGUGGAGAAACACACAUUAGACAAAACCUACUCAAGAGCUAGAAGAAACAGGUUGUGGCCAACUGCUAAUUCUCUAGCAAUGACAAGUUUGUUAUUCAAUCAAAGAGGUUUCAAACUGCAAGCAGAGGAAAAAAUGUCUGCCACUCUUUCAAGGGACACUGAUCAGUGUGCUCUAUUCUCUUUAGAUCAACCAUGCUAUAUCUUACUACAUUUCAUGUCACUACUGCAAAUUGCAGAUGGAGCUGGAAGGGACUGCAGGUUCCCAGAAGGUCCAUAAACAGUUUAAGUGCAUUACUUACAGAAUUAGGACAGUAUCUUUUCAUUAGUUCAUUGAUGGCAAUGUCAUUCUUGUGUAGUUUGGGGCCUGUGUGGUACCAUCCAACAAUUCUUUCCCUAGCUGGGAAAACCAAAAACAAUUAGAAUAGUCAGAAUCUGAGGGUAAUGACAGGAUGAUAGUUCAUACAGGGGCAUACAAGUGCUCAAAUCCAGGUACUGCCUGACCCUGGGUUGUGCCCAAACUUCUCAAAGGACAUCAGGUAGAACUCCCACUUCUGCUUUACAGACACCAGUAAAGGCCUAAAUGCUUUGAGAAAUUAAAUUGUUGCUGCACUUUGCACUCCUUCGCCUCAGAUUCUGUGCUGGUGGAAGGCAGUCUAGGAAUGGAAAAUGGAGUAGGUGAUGGCUGAGGGCAUAUGAAGGUUGGGAGCUGAACAACGCAUUUAGAUUCAAAAUUUACUGGCAAAUCUGGAAAACAGGGCUUCACAGGAAGGUAUUUGCUAAAUUGAUUUUUGUGCCUAGACACUUCAAUAAUGGGCGCACAUGAGAUAGAUUAAAUGCAGCAUUAUAUUAUUAGACAGCACAGGCGAGCCAUUUGUGCAUCACCCCAGACAACCCAAACUACCUUAGCAAGAAUGAUCCCCAAGUCAGAGCUGGUUUAUGCAACAUGGCACUUUUGAGCACACAGACUGUGGGGCUCUCUGAGACAAAAGGGGGCCAAUGUGGCUCUUGACAUCCCGCCGCACAAAAAUUCAAAGAUAAGCUGCAAGAUCUGCACUCGGCUUGAGACUCAAAUACUUAAGGAAUCAUAAGAACAUCAGCAAUCUAAAUAAGAGUUUUUCCCAGGGACGGGAAUGUUCACAGGGGAAUUACUGUAGUGUCUCCAGAUUCAGCCCCCAUAAUCUUAUAAAGAAAAGAAAAGGGAGACCUUUAUAAACAAAACAGAAAGGUUAAUCAGUUCACCUGAUUUGUAAUUCCGAUGUCUGCACUCAUACGAGGGAAAGGUGGCAGAGGGAAAGGAGAUUCUGGCGGAAGGAGUCAUAGUAUCAGGGUUUGAAUUUCUUAUAGCUAUUCAAUCCCCAAGAUCAUCACCUCAGUUCUUGGAAGUACAGCGCUACCAGGAGACUUAGAGAGUGAGUUUCUAGGCAAAUAUCAACCACUCACAAUGUGCACUUACCAUUGACUUUUUUAAACAUUCCAUACAUGUUCUCCAGAUAAUCAUGGUCUAGAAACCACACAGAGUCAUCUUUAUCAUCCUCAUCGAAAGGGACUGGGAACAAAACAGUUAGUUCAAUAUUUAGUAGUUCAAGUUUCAUCCAGCCUGAAAACUUUCACAGAAAAAUCAGAUUUUUCCCCAGCAAGUUCUUGGCUACAAAUGAAAAAAAAAAAAGUAAUUUUUCUCAAUUUUGAUUGAAUACAACUGUUCUGCUAUACUGUGCUGCAGAUACUGUUGUAAAACUCAACAGGAAAACAGCAACGUUAGCUGAUUUUUUCAAAGUGGUUUUCUGAUAAUUACUGAAUUAGUUUUAGAAUUGAGCAAGGAAAACCAAAGCAAUUGAAUUAUUCUGGGCAAAGUGUUCAAGAACACACCAGGAACAUUCCAGUGUAUGAACAAUUUACACAAAAUUGGUGUGUGAGGACUUCUGAUAAAGAAAAUGUGGGUCCCAAUAGGUCACUAGAGCCUGUUGGGUCAACAGAGGUGAAAAGCUACUUUGUCGUAUAAGACACAUUCCAUUAGACAAAUAACUACAAUUCUAUGAAGUCUGUUGAAAAAUAAUUGCAUAUGCCAUUUUCUCGAGUAAAGAACUAGUUUGUUUUGUUAGUUCACAUUAUGGAUAACAGGCUACAAGUUUAGUUCUGAGCAACAGGGCUUUAAUUUACAGGAAUACAAAAAAAAUCUCCAAUUAUAAAGUUCUAUUUUUGGCAGCCCUGCCAUUUAACUGACCAAACUGCUACUCCAUCUUCACAACUCUGCAAAAAAUAACCCAGGAUUAGGCUACACUUUUGUUCCCAGAUUUUCACGCAGGAGCCAAUACGGAUGAUUCUGCUUUAUCAAUAAAUAUUCAUCUGCUUUCUGAAGGGGGUAAGAGGAGAUAAGAGAAGUAAAUAAGAAAACAAAAAAGUCAGAAAAGGCCAUACAGGUUCCGAUUUUACCACUGUACAAAACCAGGAUUCAAACUCAAGAGGUAAUGAUUUUAAUACAAGUGAAAAUACUUUUUAAGCAAUAUCUCUGCAAUUCUCAUGGGCUAUUCUUAAAGAAAAAAGGUACUUUUCAAAUAAAACAUUAGAUCUUCAUGUGAAUAAGUAACAUCUGCAAUGACAUUAGCUAGGUAACUCAAGCCAUGAGUCUUCAAAGCCCAAGGAAUGAUUGGAAUUGUGGAAUGAUCACAAUCCAGGAUCAGGAAGAAAUCUUCCACCUCUGAGUAUACUGAACUGCUGCUGCUUUAGGAGUUUUACAGCUGCCUCUGAGCAUUCACCAUUGGACACUGCUGCAAACAAGAUGCAGAGCAGGAGACUGAUGGGAUCGGGUUCUUUUGUAAGCAGAUAACUAGCAUUUUUCCAUGAAAAUGUAGACACCAUAGUUUCAUGAAUUUAUAAAUGGGAAGAAGAGUUUAAUGUGCCAGGAUGAUGCAAGAAAACAUUUGGCAGUUUUUCUGCUAGCUAGCUUAAUAGGUGGUAAACAGAAUAGGACACCCAAACUCACCUGCAAAACUGUUGGAGACAUCUAAUAUUUUCUUCUGCCAAGAGCCCAGCAACACUCCAACAA